UACAGAGGUCCCAAGCGUUGUUCGGAUUCAUUGGGCGUAAAGGGUGCGUAGGCGGCGCGGUAAGUCGGGUGUGAAAUCUCCACGCUCAACGUGGAGGGGCCACUCGAUACUGCCAUGACUCGAGUCCGGUAGAGGAGUGUGGAAUUCCCGGUGUAGCGGUGAAAUGCGCAGAUAUCGGGAGGAACACCCGUAGCGAAGGCGGCACUCUGGGCCGGAACUGACGCUGAGGAGCGAAAGCGUGGGGAGCAAACAGG
rnacentral:rRNA from 1 species